AAAGGAGCUGACGACUCCAAGCAAGUCGUUGAUCCGUCCACCGACCAGUCGACCAGUCGAUCUGCUGAUCUGACUACCGACCGAGACAUCUGCACACCUGAUCCCGCUGGAAGGAGCAUCGCCGCCGACCAGACGAGACCAGAGGACGAGGAAAGCGGAGAGGCGGACAGCCUAGCGCCGACUCGACGCCCUUCGUCUACGGAUCGGACCCUCUGACCCCACGGGAGGAAACAUCGCGCUCCCACAAGGACUUGCGCAGUACAGUGCCCCAGGAAGACAUGCUUCCACACCAGUGACUUGAAACCUGAAAAAGACAGUCCCAGCCAUCAAGACGUCCAACACAGGAGAGGAUGUGGACAAAUUUUGAAGAUUCAUCGUCUGCUUCUUGGACUAUGUAGCAGCAGAACCAGCAGAAAUACUGACUCAAUAAAUGCAGAAUAGCUAAGAGUCUUUACAUGACAAGUAACAAAAGAAAACCUCACAUUUUCUCA
rnacentral:lncRNA from 1 species